rnacentral:rRNA from 1 species
UACGUAGGGUGCAAGCGUUGUCCGGAAUUAUUGGGCGUAAAGAGCUCGUAGGCGGUCUGUUGCGUCGGCUGUGAAAACCCGGGGCUCAACCCCGGGCCUGCAGCCGAUACGGGCUAGCUAGAGUGUGGUAGGGGAGAUCGGAAUUCCUGGUGUAGCGGUGAAAUGCGCAGAUAUCAGGAGGAACACCGGUGGCGAAGGCGGAUCUCUGGGCCAUUACUGACACUGAAAAGCGAAAGCCAGGGGAGCAAACGGG